GACGAACGCUGGCGGCGUGCUUUACACAUGCAAGUCGAACGAGAACCUUCCUUCGGGAAGCAGAGAGUGGCGAACGGGUGAGUAACACGUGGGCAACCUACCCCUCACACUGGGAUAACCUCGGGAAACCGGGGCUAAUACCGGAUAUUCACGACCUCGGGCAUCCGAGGACGUGGAAAGGAUUCUGGUGAGGGAUGGGCCCGCGGCCUAUCAGUUUGUUGGUGGGGUAAUGGCCUACCAAGACGACGACGGGUAGCCGGCCUGAGAGGGCGACCGGCCACACUGGGACUGAGACACGGCCCAGACUCCUACGGGAGGCUGCAGUGGGGAAUAUUGCGCAAUGGACGAAAGUCUGACGCAGCAACGCCGCGUGAGGGAUGAAGUACAUCGAGAUGUAAACCUCUUUCAGCAGGGACGAAGCGAAAGUGACGGUACCUGCAGAAGAAGCGCCGGCUAACUACGUG
rnacentral:rRNA from 1 species